CGCCAGACUCCUACGGGAGGCAGCAGUAGGGAAUAUUGCUCAAUGGGGGAAACCCUGAUGCAGCGACGCCGCGUGAGUGAAGAAGUAUUUCGGUAUGUAAAGCUCUGUCAGCAGGGAAGAAGAAAGACGGUACCUGACCAAGAAGCCCCGGCUAACUACGUGCCAGCAGCCGCGGUAAUACGUAGGGGGCAAGCGUUAUCCGGAUUUACUGGGUGUAAAGGGAGCGUAGACGGCAGGGCAAGUCUGGAGUGAAAGGCAGGGGCCCAACCCCUGGACUGCUCUGGAAACUGUCCGGCUGGAGUGCAGGAGAGGUAAGUGGAAUUCCUAGUGUAGCGGUGAAAUGCGUAGAUAUUAGGAGGAACACCAGUGGCGAAGGCGGCUUACUGGACUGUAACUGACGUUGAGGCUCGAAAGCGUGGGGAGCAAACAGGAUUAGAUACCCGUGUA
rnacentral:rRNA from 1 species